rnacentral:rRNA from 1 species
AUGGAGGAUCUUGGCCUGCGUGAGGAGGACCUCGAUGACGUCGUCUUCGACGAUAAGGAGGCGCCGCAGGAGGCGGUGCGGUGGAUGGCUUUGGCUAGGGUUAACACGAGUAAGACCUAUAGUCAGACAUGGUUUUUCAGAAACAUGCGCUCGGCAUGGGAUGCGGCACAGGAGGUGAAGUUCAAACCUCUGGAAGAUAAUCUCUAUACAGUCAAGUUUUCGUGCCUUGGGGACUAG